rnacentral:rRNA from 1 species
UACGUAGGGUGCAAGCGUUGUCCGGAAUUAUUGGGCGUAAAGAGCUCGUAGGCGGUCUGUCGCGUCUGGUGUGAAAAUCCAGGGCUUAACCCUGGACCUGCAUCGGGUACGGGCAGACUAGAGUGCGGUAGGGGAGAUCGGAAUUCCUGGUGUAGCGGUGAGAUGCGCAGAUAUCAGGAGGAACACCGGUGGCGAAGGCGGAUCUCUGGGCCGUAACUGACGCUGAGGAGCGAAAGCAUGGGGAGCGAACAGG